GGCUGCGUUACCACCGACCAGUCCUCAGCCGGCAACAUGAAGCUGGGUGGCCUCUGCCUCCUGCUCCUCCUCGCCGUCCUUCUCACCCUCAAUGCAGAGUUCCAAGCAGUUGAUGUAGGUAUCUGUGUGACGGAGUGCAAGGUAGACCAGGACUGUGGGGCAGGAAGACGAUGCACCAGCAAUGGAUGUGGCCGGGUCUGCUCCCCAGUCCGGCGAAGAGAGGCCUGCGAGCACCAGUGCAGAGAAGACAGGGACUGUGGGAGUGGACAUCAGUGCGUGAGGAAGGGCUGUGGGCACGUCUGCGCCCCCGUCCAUCAAGUCGAUGUAGGUAUCUGUGUGACGGAGUGCAAGGUAGACCAGGACUGUGGGGAAGGAAGACUAUGCAUCAGUAAUGGGUGUGGCCGUGUCUGCUUCCCAGGGCGAAGAGAGGCCUGCGAGCACCAGUGCAGAGAAGACAGGGACUGUGGGAGUGGACAUCAGUGCGUGAGGAAGGGCUGUGGGCACGUCUGCGCCCCCGUCCAUCAAGUCGGUAUCUGUGUGACGGAGUGCAACGUAGACCAGGACUGUGGGGAAGGAAGACAAUGCACCAGCAAUGGGUGUGGCCGUGUCUGCUCCCCAGUCCAGCAAGAAGAUGUAGGUAUCUGUGUGACGGAGUGCAAGGUAGACCAGGACUGUGGGGAAGGAAGACGAUGCACCAGCAAUGGGUGUGGCCGUGUCUGCUCCCCAGUCCAGCAAAAAGAGGCCUGCGAGCACCAGUGCAGAGAAGACAGGGACUGUGGGAGUGGACAUCAGUGCGUGAGGAAGGGCUGUGGGCACGUCUGCGCCCCCGUCCAUCAAGUCGAUGUAGGUAUCUGUGUGACGGAGUGCCGUGUAGACCAGGACUGUGGGGAAGGAAGACAAUGCACCAGCAAUGGAUGUGGCCGUGUCUGCUCCCCAGCCCAGCAAAGAGAGGCCUGCGAGCACCAAUGCAGAGAAGACAAGGACUGUGGGAGUGGACAUCAGUGCGUGAGGAAGGGCUGUGGGCACGUCUGCUCCCCCAUCCCUCAAGUAGGUAUCUGUGUGACGGAGUGCAAUGUAGACCAGGACUGUGGGGCAGGAAGACGAUGCACCAGCAAUGGAUGUGGCCGUGUCUGCUCCCCACCCCAGGGAGGAGGACUCUGUGUGGACCGCUGCCGAGGAAACUGGGACUGUGGGGCCGGAGAAGAAUGUAUCAGGAAGGGAUGUGGACGGGUCUGCUCUCCAGCCCAGGAGCCAGUGGUAGGUAUCUGUGUGGAUCAGUGCCAAAGACACUGGGAAUGUGGUCCACGGAUGCGGUGUGUCUCCACUGGAUGUGGCCACAUCUGCUCACCAGCCCAAGACCAAGGUAAGAGGUGCAAGCCUUGCCUUCCAAGCCCCUGACUGACUGAAUGCUUGGCUCUG
rnacentral:lncRNA from 1 species